GAAGGGCCAUAGCUCAGUGGCAGGGCAUUUGCUUUGCAUGCAGAAGGUACCAGGUUCAAAUCCUGACAUCUUCA